rnacentral:rRNA from 1 species
GAGUAACGCGUGGGUAAUCUGCCCUUGAGUGGGGAAUAACCUCGCGAAAGCGGGGCUAAUACCGCAUAACAUCCUCUCCUUUUCGGAGGAGGGGAUCAAAGGUGACCUCUCCAUGGAAGUUGUCGCUCGAGGAGGAGCCCGCGUCCCAUUAGCUUGUUGGUAGGGUAACGGCCUACCAAGGCUACGAUGGGUAGCCGGCCUGAGAGGGUGACCGGCCACACUGGAACUGAGACACGGUCCAG